AUAAGACAUGGGUAACAGGCAUAUCCUACAUAGAUGGCAGGGCUAAGGAGCUCCUGACGAGACUAGCAGGAGUAUCUGGCACCAAGUGCCCUGAUCUCUCCUUCCUUCUGAGCUCUCCGAGGGCCAUCAGUUUGCUUCUCAGUGUUUCAUCUACUUUAGGGCUGGUCUUGGAAAGAAGCUUUACUAACAAACCCUUUUGAGACCUGAGCUCAGUCACAGGGCUAGCAGAGCUUUGACUGCUACCUAGCUAGGUCCCAGGGACUGUUGCUAUUGCUAGUUUAUUUGAACAGAAACAUCACUUCUCAUCUACACUCUUCCAAUGCAGAAUCACUGCCUGCUCCAUGUUGAUACUGUAUGUUUCCCCAACAAAAGCCAUGUGUUGUAUUUACAAAGUGCCUCUGCCAGACUUUGUGAGCAGCAGCAUAAAGAAAAAACCAAAUCUAUCUGAUGUGGAACUCCCUCUUGUUCAGGAUUACAAAAGGUUUUACAAGCUCAUCCAGUGUGUCACUUCACUCAGUUGACAGUCACAUUAGAAAGCUCUCCGCAAAUGCCACAGGAAACAGCAGAGACCUAAACAUUGAAAACUCAAAGGCAAAGAAGUUCCUCCUGCUCUUCUUGUCUGCUGCCAGGACCUCUAACAGUU
rnacentral:lncRNA from 1 species